AUCUAUUAGGUUCAUGCAAAAGUAAUUGCGGUUUUUGCCAUUCCUUUCAAUGGUAAAAACUGCAAUUAAUUUUGCACCAAC
ensembl:miRNA